rnacentral:rRNA from 1 species
ACCUGGUUGAUCCUGCCAGCAAUCAUAUGCUUGUUUAAAAGAUUAAGCCAUGCAUGUCUAAGUAUAAGCUGUAUCACAGCGAAGCUAAUACGUGCAAAAGGGCUGGACCUGGGGCAACUCAGGGAAGGCCGUAGUUGCAAGGUGAGAAACCAGUUCGGGGUAUUCCAAACUUCCAGGGGCGGGUCGGGGAAACCCGGUCUCUUCUGGAGGGCUCCGAUCUAGGCAGACGAAUCAUUGCAAAGCGUUGCGAAUCGAGGGCAAAAGCUCUCGAUGAUGCGAACGAGUAUCUGCCCUAUCAACUUUCGAUUGUAGUGUAGGGGACUACAAUGGUGAUAACGGGUACGGGGAAUUAGGGUUCGAUUCCGGAGAGUUAGCCUUAAAAAUGGCUAACAUUACCAAGGUAAGCAGCAGGCGCGUAAAUUAUCCAAUCCCAAUUCGGGGAGAUAGUGACGAGAAAUAUCGAUGUGGGGCCUUACGGGUUUCACGAUCGAAAUGAGUACAAUUUAAAAACCUUAACGAAUGCAAUUGGAGGGCAAGUCUGGUGCCAGCAGCCGCGGUAAUUCCAGCUCCAAGAGCGUAUAUUAAAGUUGUUGCGGUUAAAAAGCUCGUAGUUGGACCGUGGGGCGACGCGCGAUUUAAACUUCGCGGGGUCGCGGCUUUCGGGUCGCGGUUUCGCGGGGGCGCGCGUUCGUCUCGUUUUUUGCGUCGCUAAACGGCGUCGGGAGGCGUCUCUCGUGGGGGGCGAAAUCGUCUUUCCGCGGGUUGCGCUCCUCUUCGUCGGAUUGCAAGAUUUUACUUUGAAUAAAUUAGAGCGUUCAAAGCAGGCGAAAUCGUCUUGAAUACGUUAGCAUGGUAUAAUAGAAUAGGACCGUAAGAAUUUUUUUCGGUUUAACGUUUACUGGUUUCUAAAGCCGAGGUAAUGAUUAAUAGCGACAGUUGGGGUCGCUCGUACUCGGCGGUCAGAGGUGAAAUUCUAAGACCCGCC